AGCGCAGGCGCUGGCGCGGAGAGGCGCAGGCCCAGGUCCACUCCCCAGCUGUGAAAGGAGGAGCUCUACGGUGACUUUGAAGACUUGGAAACAGGGGACAUGCACAAGGGAAAAUCGGGCCCCGACACUCAGAAUGAAGAUAUAGAGAAACAAGGAAGAAAUUGACCCCGACGAAGAAGAAAGUGCCAAGAAAAAGCAUUUGGAUAAGAAGAGAAAAUUGAAGGAGAUGUUUGAUGCGGAAUAUGAUGAAGGAGAAAGCACAUAUUUUGAUGAUCUUAAAGGAGAAAUGCAGAAAGAAGCACAGCUGAAUCACGUAGAAUUUGAAGAUCAAGAUGAUGAAGCCAGAGUUCAGUAUGAUGGUUUUCGACCUGGGAUGUACGUCCGCGUUGAGAUUGAAAAUGUUCCCUGUGAAUUUGUGCAGAACUUUGACCCCCAUUACCCCAUUAUCCUGGGUGGCUUGGGCAACAGCGAGGGAAAUGUUGGACACGUGCAGAUGCGUCUGAAGAAACAUCGCUGGUAUAAGAAAAUCCUCAAGUCCCAAGAUCCAAUCAUAUUUUCUGUAGGGUGGAGGAGGUUUCAGACCAUCCUGCUCUAUUAUAUUGAAGACCACAAUGGAAGACAAAGGCUUCUAAAGUAUACCCCACAGCACAUGCAUUGUGGAGCAGCCUUUUGGGGGAACUGGUUUCUUGGCAAUACAGUCUGUCAGUGGCAUAAUGCCUGAUUUUCGGAUAGCUGCCACAGGAGUUGUCCUUGAUCUGGAUAAAUCCAUAAAAAUUGUGAAGAAAUUAAAGCUAACUGGUUUUCCAUAUAAAAUUUUCAAGAACACUUCAUUUAUUAAGAUAUUGUCUUCAUGCGAACUUGGUAUCCUGUUUCCAUCCCAGCCUUCUAUAACCCAGUAACAUCUUUGUUGAAACCAGUGGGUGAGAAAGACACCUGGUCAGGAAUGUGGACCACGGGCCACCUCGGGCUCGCCCAUGGUGUCAGACUAAAGACAAACAAGGACUCUCUGUAUAAGGUACUGGUCGUGUGUGUGUUAGUGGAGAUGAAGCCUGUGCCCUACAGACAGGGAGUCACGCAGACACUUUUCUAUAAUUUCUUACGUACUUUGAAUGUUCAAGUAUAAAGUCUAAUGUUAAAUUUGAUUGAACAAUUGUAUAUUUGUGGGAUAUUUUGGAAUGGAACACCAAAAAAUGGUAAUAGUGGUUCUUUCUGGAUUGAAGACAAACUUUUCUUUUUUAAAAUAAAUUUUAUUUUAUAUAUUUGA
rnacentral:lncRNA from 1 species